ACCCUGGGAUCAUGACCUGAGCGGAAGGCAGAGGCUUUAACCCACUGAGCCACCCAGGCGCCCCUGGAGGUUUUUCUAAGUGUCAUUCCAAAAGCGGAAUAUUGAAUGAUAAUUGGAAGUAAUGAACAGGAUGAAAAAACCUCUUUAAAGAUUACUGUGGUGAUUUGAUAAUAGCAUGUAGUAAUUGGUAAAUUAAUAGUAUUUGGGUGAUAACCAUCGGAUUUUGGCUUUAGAUAGCUGGCAAAUCUCUCAACACUGGUGCAUUUGAUAAAACAACUGAAUCUUGACCAUUUGAACUUAGUUCUCUGAAUAGGCUUUCUUCUUAUGAAGGGGAAUUCAUCAGGCAGCUUGGAACUGUGGCAAAAAGCAGAGGACAACCUGGUAGGCAAACAAUGCUGAGUGAAAUGCGUACUGUAGCAGCCACAGGCAGGAAAUGACUACAGUUGAAAAGACUGGCAUUUUCUAAGGUAGGUAAAAUGGUCUUUUAAUGAUACUACCAGGAGCACUGAUAUGGCCUGUAAAUAAGAAACUAAUAACAGGUUCUGUCCACAGCUCAAAAAAAAAUAUUAUUAGGAGCCAAAAUAUUAAAAAAGAAAAGCAACAUAGAUGUUAGACAGAUGGCGUCCUUACAGAGACGUCAUGAUUGUAACAGAGUCAAAUGCUCGAUCGUCUAGCUGUUGUGUUUGCGUCUGGUUUCACAAAUCUCCACCUCAUUCAGGAACAGAAAAUACAGGACAGCUCCAGGCACCGGCUAAUGCGGGAUCAAGGGCUUGGGGGCACCCCUCAGCUUAGGGGCCAGCUCCCUCCCCGAACUUGCAGACCCACUGGCCAGGCUGGGCCUCAUCAGCACCUUCUCCUUGGCUCCACUCCUUAAGGGGAAACCGAGGCAGGGGCUACGAGCUGUUGUCCACAGGCCUCCUGGGUCUAUCAGGAUCCAGAGUUCUCAUCUGGGGCCACUGACUUCCAGGGGGCCGGUGUCCCCGCCUGCCACUGACGAUAACCUCACUGGUCCUUGCAAGGAUUCCGGAAGACCCCAAGGGGGACGCCCUGACCCUGCAGGAGCAGUUUGAAGGUCACUCCAACUACAUCCCAGAUGCAGGGGGCUCAGCUCACGGCCCAGCGGCUGGGGAGGGGGCGUGGAAGCCCUCCGGAGCGGCGAGAGCCAGGAAGGCUGCAGGGUACCACAAGCUCGGCUUUCGGGAGAACCGACCUGGUUUUUAAGAGCAAACAUGCAACGGCACAAAAGCACACCCAAUUCCAGCAGCUCACGGAGGGAGGGGCUCCUUCUUCUCCGACACCCCUGCAGGGGUGAGUGGAGCGCUUCUCGGGAACGUGCGCUCUUCCACGCCCACCCUGCGACUCACACGCCUGGCCCUUCCGUCACGCAGGGCCCUGGUCCCCAAACCAGGAGGAAACACAGUGCCGUCGGCUUUACGUGAACAGUAUUCGUGGAAGGGAAAACCUGCACAUUGUAACUUCAAAACGGAGGCAAUUUUAUGAUUCCCCAGAUUGAUAAAAGCUUUAAGUCACUCCACAAAUGAACAGAGAAAAUACUGCCUUUUUGCUCAUUUGAAAGCAAGAUCUCCGUGCUGGCCGCUAAGUCCCUCUGGACAAGGGGCGCAGGCGUGCGGCCGCACGGCGGGCACAGCGAGACGGUCAGAGGGACACUCCGACUCCACCCGCAGGCACAGCUGGGCGACCACGUCCUCCAAGUCCCAGGGAGCUGACUGUCUUUCACCUUGUUCAGCAGGGAGCUCGUGGCCACGCAUCCCCUGCAGCGUGGGGCCAGCUCUGCCCCGUCCCCGCAGCGGACUCCCUGCCCCUCC